UCACCGUCACUGCAGGGCGUCCACAGCCAAACAAAGUCCACCACCGUCAUGCUAGGGCGUCCACCAACCACAACAGUCCUGUCACCAUCACUGCUAGGGCGUCCACCAACCACAACAGUCCUGUCACCGUCACUGCUAGGCGUCCACCCAACCACAACAGUCCUGUCACCGUCACUGCUAGGGCGUCCCACCAACCAAACAGUCCUUCACCGUCACUGCUAGGGCGCCACCCAACCACAACAGUCCUGUCACCGUCACUGCUAGGGCGUCCACCCAACCACAACAGUCCUGUCACCGUCACUGCUAGGGCGUCCACCCAACCACAACAGUCCUGUCACCGUCACUGCUAGGGCGUCCACCAACCACAAACAGUCCUGUCACCGUCAACUGCUAGGGGCGUCCACCCACCACAACAGUCCUGUCACCGUCAGCAGG
rnacentral:lncRNA from 1 species